rnacentral:rRNA from 1 species
GAUGAACGCUGGCGGCGUGCCUAACACAUGCAAGUCGAGCGGCAGCGAGGGGUGCUUGCACCCUGUCGGCGAGCGGCGGACGGCUGAGUAACUCGUGGGAACGUGCCCCAAAGUGAGGAAUAACUGCCCGAAAGGGUAGCUAAUACCGCAUAUUAUCUUCGGAUCAAAGGAUUUAUCCGCUUUGGGAGCGGCUCGCGUCGGAUUAGGUAGUUGGUGAGGUAAUGGCUCACCAAGCCGACGAUCCGUAGCUGGUCUGAGAGGAUGACCAGCCAGACUGGAACUGAGACACGGUCCAGACUCCUACGGGAGGCAGCAGUGAGGAAUCUUCCACAAUGGGCGAAAGCCUGAUGGAGCAACGCCGCGUGCAGGACGAAGGCCUUCGGGUUGUAAACUGCUUUUAUAAGUGAGGAAUAUGACGGUAACUUAUGAAUAAGGAUCGGCUAACUACGUG